rnacentral:rRNA from 1 species
CGGAGGGUGCAAGCGUUAUCCGGAUUCACUGGGUUUAAAGGGUGCGUAGGCGGUCAGAUAAGUCAGUGGUGAAAGCCCGCGGCUCGACCGUGGAAUUGCCAUUGAAACUGCCUGACUUGAAUACAGUUGAAGUGGAUGGAAUACAUCAUGUAGCGGUGAAAUGCUUAGAUAUGAUGUAGAACACCAAUUGCGAAGGCAGUUCACUAAGCUGUCAUUGACGCUGAGGCACGAAAGCGUGGGGAGCGAACAGGAUUAGAUACCCUGGUAGUCCACGCCCUAAACGAUGAAUACUCGAUGUGUGCUCCUUGAGGGUACGCGUCCAAGCGAAAGCGUUAAGUAUUCCACCUGGGAAGUACGGCCGCAAGGUUA